rnacentral:lncRNA from 12 species
CGUCUGGGAGAGGAGAUGAGGUGAGGUGAGUGACGCACAUUGUGAGAUAGCUUUGAGCUACAACUGACGAUGUGUCAGAAGAAGAAUCAUCUGUUUCUGGGCCCUGGGUGACUGAGGGUCAGCUGAAACCGUGGAGAAGAGGGGACUGACCGUUGUAUUUGAUACAUGUGGAAUUUUAGCUUGUUUGGGGUGAGGAAGAUGAAAUUUAAAAGGAGGAGCUACUAAGUGCUAAAGCAGUACACUUCCAGUGGUCUGAUGUCUCUGUUUUUUAUAUUUUUUCACUAGAUCGGGUGGUAUUGACCUGGCAGUCUGAAAAUCUUCUGAAAAGUAUCCUUACAAUGAAUUCAUCCUUGUGAGCAAUUUGUGUAUCUCUUCCUUGGAACUCUUGAGAAUGUGACCCGCUGGACUAGAAAAACCUCUAUGGCGAAAAAGAAACAUUUUCCUGCUAAU